CAAAAGAUCAAACAAAAAUAAUUGCGAAAAUGAUGAAAACGUGCGAUAAGUCAACGAAUUCUCGAGAGGAGCAAACUUCUGCAGAGGCCAUCGCCACGUGCGUUCUUAUCAAAAAGAGAUAAAUUAUUUCUCAAGGUGAUCGGAA
ensembl:ncRNA F08F3.12 ncRNA